AUUGAACGCUGGCGGCCGGCCUAACACAUGCAAGUCGAGCGAGCGGCGGACGGGUGAGUAAUGUAUGGGGACUGCCCGAUAGAGGGGGAUAACUACUGGAAACGGUGGCUAAUACCGCAUACUAUCGGAUAACCCAUAUGUGAUUAGCUAGUAGGUGGGGUAAAGGAGCACCUAGGCGACGAUCUCUAGCUGGUCUGCGAGGAUGAUCAGCCAAACUGGGACGUAGACAAGGCCCAGACUCCUACGGAGGCAGCAGUGGGGAAUAUUGCACAUUGGGCGCAAGCCGGAUGCAGCCAUGCCGCGUGUAUGAAGAAGGGCUUAGGGUUGUAAAGUAAUUUCAGAGGGGAGGCGUUACCCGCAGAAGAAGCACCGGCUAACUCCGUGCCAGCAGCCGCGGUAAUAC
rnacentral:rRNA from 1 species